rnacentral:rRNA from 1 species
UACAGAGGUCCCAAGCGUUGUUCGGAUUCACUGGGCGUAAAGGGUGCGUAGGUGGUGAGGUAAGUCGGAUGUGAAAUCUCCGGGCUCAACCCGGAAAUGGCAUUGGAAACUACCUUGCUAGAGGGUUUGAGGGGGGACUGGAAUACUUGGUGUAGCAGUGAAAUGCGUAGAUAUCAAGUGGAACACCAGUGGCGAAGGCGAGUCCCUGGAAAAUACCUGACACUGAGGCACGAAAGCUAGGGGAGCAAACAGG